rnacentral:rRNA from 1 species
GAUUAACAGUGAUGUUAAUUGAAAAUUUAUACUUUAGUGCAGAUCUUGGUGGUAGUAGCAAAUAUUCAAUAGAGAACAUUGAAGACUGAAGUGGAGAAAGGUUUCACAUGAACAACACUUGGAUGUGAGUUAGUCGAUCCUAAACGGUGGGUUAACUCCAUAUACAUAGAUACUUGUAUCUUGUACCGUGAAAGGGAAACAGGUUAAUAUUCCUGUACUAUAUCAAGGAGGUAAAAUGGCAACAUAAAUGAACUCAAAUACAUCAGUAGAAUAACCAGGAAGAGUUCUCUUUUCUUCUUAACAACUUCCUCGCAAGGGGUGUAUAAUGACCAUGGAAUCAAUUUAGUUGGAGAAAUGGUUAAAGAGUUGGCAGAGUAAUUCAAUUUCUGAAUUAUCUGGUUAGGUUCUAAUGAUACAUAAAUUUGAGGGAAUGAUCUUACUUGAAUAGUCGUACUCAUAACCGCAGCAGGUCUCCAAGGUUAGAAGCCUCUAGUUGGCAGAAUAAUGUAGGUAAGGGAAG